rnacentral:rRNA from 1 species
UGCCUAACACAUGCAAGUCGAACGGUAACAGGUCUUCGGAUGCUGACGAGUGGCGCACGGGUGAGUAACGCGUGGAUAUCUGCCUAUGAGUGGGGGACAACUUUCGGAAACGAAAGCUAAUACCGCAUAAUCUCUACGGAGCAAAGCAGGGGACCUUUCGGGGCCUUGUGCUUAUAGAUGAGUCCGCGUCAGAUUAGCUAGUUGGUGGGGUAAGAGCCUACCAAGGCGAUGAUCUGUAGCUGGUUUGAGAGGAUGAUCAGUCACACUGGAACUGAGACACGGUCCAGACUCCUACGGGAGGCAGCAGUGGGGAAUUUUGCACAAUGGGCGCAAGCCUGAUGCAGCGAUGCCGCGUGUGGGAAGAAGGCCUUUGGGUUGUAAACCACUUUCAAUUGGGAAGAAGGGAUGAGUAUUAAUAAUACUCUGACUUGACGGUACCUUUAGAAGAAGCACCGGCUAAUUUCGUGCCAGCAGCCGCGGUAAUACGAAAGGUGCAAGCGUUGUUCGGAUUUACUGGGCGUAAAGAGAUCGUAGGUGGUUUGUUAAGUUAGAUGUGAAAUCCCGGGGCUCAACCUCGGAACUGCAUCUAAAACUGGCAGACUUGAGUUCGGGAGGGGUAAGCGGAAUUCCGUGUGUAGCAGUGAAAUGCGUAGAUAUACGGAGGAACACCUGAGGCGAAGGCGGCUUACUGGACCGAUACUGACACUGAGGAUCGAAAGCGUGGGUAGCAAACAGGAUUAGAUACCCUGGUAGUCCACGCCCUAAACGAUGUCAACUAGCCGUUGCGGGUAUCGACCCCUGCAGUGGCGCAGCUAACGCGAUAAGUUGACCGCCUGGGGAGUAC